GAUGAACGCUGGCGGCGUGCUUAACACAUGCAAGUCGAACGAUGAAGCCCAGCUUGCUGGGUGGAUAGUGGCGAACGGGUGAGUAACACGUGAGUAACCUGCCCUUAACUCUGGGAUAAGCCUGGGAAACUGGGUCUAAUACCGGAUAGGAGCGUCCACCGCAUGGUGGGUGUUGGAAAGAUUUAUCGGUUUUGGAUGGACUCGCGGCCUAUCAGCUUGUUGGUGAGGUAAUGGCUCACCAAGGCGACGACGGGUAGCCGGCCUGAGAGGGUGACCGGCCACACUGGGACUGAGACACGGCCCAGACUCCUACGGGAGGCAGCAGUGGGGAAUAUUGCACAAUGGGCGCAAGCCUGAUGCAGCGACGCCGCGUGAGGGAUGACGGCCUUCGGGUUGUAAACCUCUUUCAGUAGGGAAGAAGCGAAAGUGACGGUACCUGCAGAAGAAGCACCGGCUAACUACGUG
rnacentral:rRNA from 1 species